rnacentral:rRNA from 1 species
CUACGGAGGGGGCUAGCGUUGUUCGGAAUUACUGGGCGUAAAGCGUACGUAGGCGGACUGAUCAGUUGGGGGUGAAAUCCCAGGGCUUAACCCUGGAACUGCCUUCAAUACUGUCAGUCUUGAGUUUGGGAGAGGUGAGUGGAAUUCCUAGUGUAGAGGUGAAAUUCAUAGAUAUUAGGAGGAACACCAGUGGCGAAGGCGGCUCACUGGCCCAUUACUGACGCUGAGGUACGAAAGCGUGGGGAGCAAACAGGAUUAGAAACCCUAGUAGUCC